rnacentral:lncRNA from 10 species
GUAGAUGUGUGCAAUUGAUUUUUGUAUACAUCUACAAUGAAAACCCCAAAAUGAAAUUAAGAAAACACUUCAAUUUACAAUAGCAUCACAAAAAAAAUAAUAAUUAAUUUGGAAAAUGUGAUACAAGAGUUUACUCUGAAAAUUAAAAAUUAUUGUUUAAGGGAGAUCUAAAUAAUUAGCAAAUAUCUUACAGCCAUGAAUUGGAAGAUUUAAUAUUGUAGUACUUUACAAUUUGAACUACAGAUUUGAUGAAAUCCCUGCAAGUAUCCCAACAGACUUCUGUCUAGAAACUGACAAGCCGAUUCUAAAAUACACAUGGAAUUGUAAGAGACUCAAAAUAGCCAAAAUAGUCUGGAAAAAAGAAAGAUAUUAGGAUAAUUCACACCCCCGUGCUCCAAACCUUACUGCAAGGCAUCAGUAAUCAAGACAAGACAAUACUGAUGAAGGAAAAAUAUAUAGAUUGUUGGAAGAGAAUUGAGAGUCCAUAUAUAAAACUAUGUAUCUAUAGUCAAUGGAUUCUUACAGUGGUGCCAUGUGCAAUUCAAUGAGGAAGAGACAAUCUUUGAACAAACUGGGUUGACAACGUACACGUGGAUCACCACUUGCAAAAUAAUCAAUUCGAACCCUUACCCCAGAACAUACAAAAAUAUUAACUCAAAUGAAUUAAAGACAUACAUGCAAGAGCUAGAGUAAAGCAUAGGGGAAAAUCUUCAGGAUUUUGGAUCUAGCAAAGAAAU